rnacentral:lncRNA from 1 species
UCUUGCCCACUAGCAUCAGUGACAUUUUUAUGAUUGUUGAUAAUAAGAAUGUUGCUAGCGAUUUCACUGCCUGUAUCAAUAACAACCCAUAUGGACUAACUAUACAGCUCAAGCAAUUAGAUAAGGAGCAGGUGCAUUUUCUGGACAUGCAUAUCACAAAAACAACUAAUUCAUUCUCCAUUUCCAUCUUUAGAAACCCAGCAGCAAGCUCAUUCUCAUUCACAAGCAUUCCAAAGAUGUAGCUGGCUACAGGGACGCUAACAUCUCUGCGCUCGUUUGGCGAGCUUGUAAACUUUGUGUGGAGGAAGCGGACAUAGUAAAUGAACUUAAGAUUCUCAAGAAGGCAUUCUUAGUUCACAGAUACCUUAGCAAAUUCAACAGCUUAGUCCACAAGAUCCCACACCAAG